UACGGAGGGUGCGAGCGUUAUCCGGAUUCACUGGGUUUAAAGGGUGCGUAGGUGGGAAUGUAAGUCAGUGGUGAAAUCUCUGAGCUUAACUCAGAAACUGCCAUUGAUACUAUGUUUCUUGAAUUUUCUGGAGGUCAGCGGAAUAUGUCAUGUAGCGGUGAAAUGCUUAGAUAUGACAUAGAACACCAAUUGCGAAGGCAGCUGGCUACAGGGAUAUUGACACUGAGGCACGAAGCGUGGGGAUCAAACAGGAUUAGAUACCCC
rnacentral:rRNA from 1 species